GAUGAACGCUGGCGGCGUGCCUAAUACAUGCAAGUCGAGCGAACGGACGAGAAGCUUGCUUCUCUGAUGUUAGCGGCGGACGGGUGAGUAACACGUGGAUAACCUACCUAUAAGACUGGGAUAACUUCGGGAAACCGUAGCUAAUACCGGAUAAUAUUUUGAACCGCAUGGUUCAAAAGUGAAAGACGGUCUUGCUGUCACUUAUAGAUGGAUCCGCGCUGCAUUAGCUAGUUGGUAAGGUAACGGCUUACCAAGGCAACGAUGCAUAGCCGACCUGAGAGGGUGAUCGGCCACACUGGAACUGAGACACGGUCCAGACUCCUACGGGAGGCAGCAGUAGGGAAUCUUCCGCAAUGGGCGAAAGCCUGACGGAGCAACGCCGCGUGAGUGAUGAAGGUCUUCGGAUCGUAAAAAUCUGUUAUUAGGGAAGAACAUAUGUGUAAGUAACUGUGCACAUCGUGACGGUACCUAAUCAGAAAGCCACGGCUAACUACGUG
rnacentral:rRNA from 1 species